CAUUUGCAUCAGUUUAUUUGCCAUUUAAAUUUUUUUCAUAAAUAGCAUUAUAUGAUCUUCAUAACACCUGUUACAAGAGAAAAACAUUAUUUUGCACCUCUACUAGGUCAACACGGAAACCAAAUCUCAGAAAGAGUAUUAGGUGGUAACAAUAUUUGAUGCAGGUUCACUUUUAAUUUGCUCAAGAGAUAAUAAGCAAGAGUAAUUUGGAACAUUAAGUAUGUGUGCAGUAAUCCCUCCUUAUCCAUGGAUGAUAUGUUCCAAGACCCCUGUGGAUGCCUGAAACUGCAGGACUUUAGUGAGAAGGAUAAAAAUGUGGUCUCCGGUUCAAGCAUUCAACUUCUCCACAUCUUGACAGAAUCACUUCUUAAAAAAAUGAAUGAAUGCCAAGCAAAAGAGGUGUGAGUUGGGAAAAAAUUUACCAGGUAUGAAGAAGAAAGAGCAAGGCCACUGUCACUGAAGUAUACUGAUCAAGGCAAAGAAUGGCAAGGAGAUCAAAGGAGGAGACUACUGGUCCAACUCACUUAGGACCUCUUAGAACAUGGUUCUGAUGAUGCUUAACUUUUACACAUCACUGAUGAUCUAUUUGGUGAUGGAUGCUUUCUGAUUUGAGUGAGCUGUGAAGUUCCAAACAAGCAUUUUUUAGUGUGAAUGAAGACACUUGAGGAAAAUUAUAUUUUAUUUUGAAAAAAAUCAAACAUGAGGUCGAGGCAAGAUGGAGGAAUAGCAGAGGUCCUCAACUCAUCUGGUCCCACAAACUUACCUAGAUAAUUUUAAAAACAUCUGAACACCUACGAAGUCAACCUGAGAUGUAAAGAGAGAACAGCUGGAAUGCUACAGAGAAAAAAGUUUUUGCAUCUAACAAGGUGUACAAUAUAGUGAUUCAACAAUUCUAUACAUAACACAGUGCUUAUCAAGAAGGAUUUGACCUCCAGGGCACCCACUUCAGAACACUUUCUGAAUGAGAUGGAGCAGGUUAAGAUCCUGGCAAUGUCUUGGUGACAGACAAUAUUGCAGAAGUGGAUGAAGAGAGAGGAGGAGGUCAAUAGGUUACUGGAUUUAAAAUUAUUUAAGGAUAUAGGACAAAUGCAAAGGAAGAUGUAUUUAAUUUAAAAUGAAUUUAACAUUAGCCAGGAUGCUAGAAAGACCAUCUGAACUGUAUAGAAAGUCCCAAAGUUGUUGGUCAUUUGAUAAUUAUUUGAUAAAUAUGACUGGUCUUAAGAAUAAGUAUUUUUCUGGGGGGUCAAGUAUGGGUAGAGGAUAAGUCUGAAAAACAGUGCCCCUGAUAAGAAAUAAAAAUUAAUGAAUUCACAUGAUCUGGGACUGGAGGAAUGUGGGAGUUUGAAAAUCAUCAACUGUAAAGUAAUUAUAAAGAAGGAGAACAAAAGUCAAAGUAUAGUAAUACAUGACUAGGAAGCAUUUUUGUGUGCUGCAAUUCAAGACUUAAUUGUUUGGAACAUGUUUAUCAAAGAAGCAGCUGAAUAUUGUUUAUUGUAUUGUUUUACUAUGCAUAUUCUACUUUUAGACAAAUAAAUGAAUUUCAUUC